rnacentral:rRNA from 1 species
UACAGAGGGGGCAAGCGUUGUUCGGAAUUACUGGGCGUAAAGGGCGCGUAGGCGGCCUGUUAAGUCGAACGUGAAAUCCCCGGGCUCAACCCGGGAACUGCGUCCGGUACUGGCAGGCUUGAAUCCGGGAGAGGGAUGUGGAAUUCCAGGUGUAGCGGUGAAAUGCGUAGAUAUCUGGAGGAACACCGGUGGCGAAGGCGGCAUCCUGGACCGGUAUUGACGCUGAGGCGCGAAAGCCAGGGGAGCAAACGGG